rnacentral:misc_RNA from 1 species
UUUCCGUAGGUGAACCUGCGGAAGGAUCAUUAGUGAAUAACCGAGGUGCGAGGGCUGUCGCUGACCCGAAAGGUCGUGCACGCCCGAGUGCCCUCACACACAUCCAUCUCACCCCUAUGUGCACCACCGCGUGGGUCCCCCUUUGGCUUGUUCGGAGGGGGGCUUACGCUUUCACACAAACUUUGUAUGCAGUGUAGAAUGUAUUUUUUGUUUUUGCGAUCACGCAAUCAAUACAACUUUCAACAACGGAUCUCUUGGCUCUC